AGGGUCCGGCGCGGCCUCGCCCUGCGGCAGGCGGUGGUGCGGGGCGCGGGGCAGGGGCCUGGGCCCGGCCGCGCCUCCCCUCCCUACGCGUCGGCUGUGCGCGGAGCGGGGAUGGGUGGGGGCACCUGGCGGAAAGUGAUGCUUUCCAGCGCGGGAUAGGAAGCAGGGACGGCCCGGCAAAGGAGCGCCCCGGGGAAGCGGGGUGCUGGCGGGUCGGUGCCGGUUGGACCAGGUGGCUGUCGCCGAGGGCAGCGCGAAGCCGUGUGGGUGCAGGCGGAUGCUGAAGUAACGAGAUCUGGCCCCCGUUCUGCUCCUGACCGACACCCCCUUGGCCUGAACGGACAUAGAGGCCGUUCUGUAGCUGAGCAGGCUUGUGGAUGAGUGGUGGAUGCACACAGGGUGUGAGGGUGGCCUCGCACCAUGAAGAAGUCACAAAAAAUGGGUAAAAACCCUGUUCCUACAACCACCCGUUGACUUAAAGAUGCCUGUCACAACUAUAAGCCACAGGUUUUCAUUUACUAAUGGCCUGUUUCUUAAAUACUUUAAAUGGUACAAGGGCAAGUACCUUUACAGUAGGUUCAGCCUAGAGGUGCAGUUUCCUUCAAGAAGUGACAUGGUGAUGCCGAUGGAAUAAAUCGGUGCACAGGCCAGUUCUUCCAUCUGCCCGGUCAACACUAUCCAAUGUUCUCAAACUGAUCCUUGCUGCUUAGAGAGCUCAGUUCCCAAGGUUCCUCCCACUUGCCCUAGACUAGAAUCACGUUGCCAGUAUCACGAUAUGAUUCUGCAGGAGAAUGGUCUCAUCUUCUUCUAACGGAUUUUCAUCUUUUAAUAUCCAUAUGUGGUUCACAUCUAAGAACAGUGAUUUUAGACAGAUACUGUUCAGCUGCAGGUUGCUCAAGAGGCACCCCUCAGUCACUGCCUCUAUUCCUUUGCUACUUCUAAUACAGAUACAAGAAAUAUUGUUGCUAAAUAAAAUGGAAUGUCUUAUACUGCAGAACUAAAUUAUUUGCCUUUGUUUUUACUGGUAAGAUUUGCUUUCAGGGAUCCCAGGCCAUGGAGAUCAGUGGAAAAGUCUGGAUUUCUGAAGAAUUAAUCUCAGUCGAGGAGAGAGGAUCGAGUUAGGAAAUAUUUAAACAAAUAGAGCACACACAAGUCCAUUGGAUUUGGUGGAAUUCAUCCAUGCAUGCAGGGCUGCUCUCAAUUAUAUCUGCAAGUUCAUGGCAAUUGGAGGAGAUUCCUGGGGACUGUAAGAAAGCAAAUAUCACACAUGUCUCCCAGAAAGGCAAGAAGGAGAAGCCAGGGAACUACAAGCCUGUCAGCCUCACCUCAGUCCCUGAGAGGGUAACAGAGCAUAUCUUCAUGGAAGCUAUUUUCAAAUAUAUCAUGGACAAGAUGAUUAGGAGUUGUCAGUCUGGGUAUAGGUGCGGGAAGUCAUGCCUGACCAAUCUGGUAGCCUGUGAUGAAAUGACUGGCUUUGCAGAUGAAGGGGGAGCCGUGCAUGUUAUCUUGACUUUAGCAUAGCUUUUGACAUUGUCUGCCAUAACAUCCACAUAGGCAAGCUAAUGAAGUACAGACUAGAUAAAUGGACAGUGAGGUGGACUGAAAAUUGUCUGAACUGUUGGGCUCAAAGGGUUUGGCCUUUCACAAAGUCCAGCUGGAGGCCAGUCACUAGUGCAGCACCAUGGGAGUUGAUACUGGGGCCAGGACUGUUUAGUCUCUUUGAGGACCUGGAUGAUGGGGACAGAGUGCACCCUCAGCAAGUCUGCAGACAAUACAAAGUUGAGAGGAGUGGUUGAUAGAGCAGAUAGAUGUGCUGCCAACCAGAGGGAUCUCAACAGGCUGGAGAAAUGGGCCAACUCGUCCUGUUCCUGAACCUCAUGAAAUUCAACAAAGGUUGAAAUACCAGGUCCUGCAGCAGCUGAGGAUUAACCCCAUGCAGUAGUACAUGUUGAAGGCUGGAAAGCUGAACAAAAAGUUGACCAUGAGCCAGCAAUGUGUGCUUGCAGCAAAGAAGACCAACAGGAUCCUGGGUAUUGCCACAGGUCAAGGGAAGUAAUCCUUCCUCUCCUCACUGGUGAGAUCUCCCUUGAGUGCUGUGCCCAGUACUGGGCCCCCCAGCACAAGAGAUAGGUGCAUGUACUGGAGUAAGUUCAGGAAAGGGUCAGGAAGAGAACAGAGCAUGUGUCAUACAAGGAGAGGCUGAGACAGAUGGAUUUUUCAGCCUGGAGCAGAGAAUGCUCAGGAGAUCUUAUCAAUGUUUGUAAAUAACGAAAGGGAGGUAGUAAAAGACAACAGAAUCAGCAUUGCUGCCCAGAAAGGACAAGUGGCAAUGGGCACAAAUUGGAAGACGGGAAAUUCCAUUUAAAUAUAAGAAAUAAGUUAUUUACAGUGAGGGUGGUCAAACGCUGAAACAGGUUUCCCAGAGGAGUUGCAGAGUCUUCAGCCUCGGAGGUCCUUGAAACCCAACUGGAUAAGGUCUGAACAACCUGCUGUAGUUGACCUGCCUUUGAGCACGGUGGGGCCUGAACUAGACAAUGUGAUGAGGUCCCUUCAUGCCUCAAAUAUUACUGUUCUGUGAUUCUAUCAAAUUAAGGUAGCCAGAAAGGUUUGAGAUAAAUUCCUUCAUUUAAAAAUGGAACAUGAGGAGCCAGGUAAAACCUUGAGGUGCAUUGUUGGCCAGAAGUUUCUAUUCAAGAAUACAGGAUUUGUCCAUAUCAGGAGUGAGAUGCGUAUAAACGAACAAACGUUUGCAGAACAGACUUCAACAGUUCCUUUUCACAUUCUGUGCUAAGUUGAUAAUAGAUGUUCUCCAGAUUGGAAUUUCCAAAUGUAAAGAGACCUUUGACUGAAAAAGUCGUUUAAAAUUCUUUUCAGUUUCUGUCAAAAUCUGUUAAUUCAAGGAACCUGCUGGGAAACCCUAUGCUUCAACCAUGCACAGACUGUUAUUUUUAAUGUGUAUUUGAAGAACCUGAUCAAACUGUCAGCUCCAAGAAAUUGCAAGUUGUGGCUUUUAUGUAUACAUGCAACAAUGUCACUAAAUAAAGAGGAAAUAGCAUAAA